rnacentral:rRNA from 1 species
AUUGAACGCUGGCGGCAUGCCUUACACAUGCAAGUCGAACGGCAGCACGGGGGCAACCCUGGUGGCGAGUGGCGAACGGGUGAGUAACGCAUCGGAACGUGCCCAGUAGUGGGGGAUAACCAGUCGAAAGAUUGGCUAAUACCGCAUACGACCUUCGGGUGAAAGCGGGGGACCGCAAGGCCUCGCGCUAUGGGAGCGGCCGAUGUCUGGUUAGCUAGUUGGUGAGGGAAAGGCUCACCAAGGCGACGAUCAGUAGCUGGUCUGAGAGGACGGCCAGACACACUGGGACUGAGACACGGCCCAGACCCCUACGGGAGGCAGCAGUGGGGAAUUUUGGACAAUGGGCGCAAGCCUGAUCCAGCCAUGCCGCGUGCGGGAAGAAGGCCUUCGGGUUGUAAACCGCUUUUGGCAGGAACGAAACGGCGCUCCCUAAUAAGGGGCGCUAAUGACGGUACCUGCAGAAUAAGCACCGGCUAACUACGUGCCAGCCGCCGCAGUAACAC